UACAGAGGUCCCAAGCGUUGUUCGGAUUCAUUGGGCGUAAAGGGUGCGUAGGCGGCGCGGUAAGUCGGGUGUGAAAUCUCGGAGCUUAACUCCGAAACUGCAUUCGAUACUGCCGUGCUUGAGGACUGGAGAGGAGACUGGAAUUUACGGUGUAGCGGUGAAAUGCGUAGAUAUCGUAAGGAACACCGGUGGCGAAGGCGGCAUCCUGGACCAACACUGACGCUGAGUGAGCGAAAGCCAGGGGAGCAAACGGG
rnacentral:rRNA from 1 species